GACGAACGCUGGCGGCGUGCCUAAUACAUGCAAGUUGAGCGCUGAAGGUUGGUACUUGUACCAACUGGAUGAGCAGCGAACGGGUGAGUAACGCGUGGGGAAUCUGCCUUUGAGCGGGGGACAACAUUUGGAAACGAAUGCUAAUACCGCAUAAAAACUUUAAACACAAGUUUUAAGUUUGAAAGAUGCAAUUGCAUCACUCAAAGAUGAUCCCGCGUUGUAUUAGCUAGUUGGUGAGGUAAAGGCUCACCAAGGCGAUGAUACAUAGCCGACCUGAGAGGGUGGUCGGCCACAUUGGGACUGGGGCCCGGCCCAAGCUCCCACGGGAAGCAGCCGUAGGGAAUCUUCGGCAAUGGACGGAAGUCUGACCGAGCAACGCCGCGUGAGUGAAGAAGGUUUUCGGGUCGUAAAACUCUGUUGGUAGAGAAGAACGUUGGUGGGAGUGGAAAGCGCAUCAAGUGACGGUAACUACCCAGAAAGGGACGGCUAACUACGUG
rnacentral:rRNA from 1 species